GUUCUGUAGCAGUGACUGGCAUUCCCAGGACGCUGUGACAGAGAGGACAGACUGGAACAGCGGCAGCAGCAGUGAGAGGCACAGAGUGAGUGGAUGUCUCAGGCAGGCAGGAAGAGGGGCAGCCAAGAGAGGCUGGCUGCCAGGCAGACACCUCUGUGCUUGCUGCCUGCUGGGCAGAAGGAAAGCCUGCCUCUGGAAAGGCGAGAGCACCAGCACACAAACCCUCCUGCUCCCUGCACAACAACAGCGACAGCAGCCAGGGCCUGGGCACAGGCAUGAAAGCACCUUUGUGAGGAAGUUGUAUCUGGCAGGGAGGACACAAGGAGCAGCUCUGCUCCUGGGGAACAUCGACUGCCCCACUGUCUGCGAUGUGCAAGCAUAAAAUGGAUCAACUCCAUGGAUUCAGCUCCUCUCCAGCAUGAGAGUGGACUUGGAGGCCAAUCUACACCUAUUUAUUAAUAAAAACAAUGCUAAUGUACCUCCAGGGAAACUGCCCAUGCCAGUGACAUGUUUCUAAACAGAACUUCCCAUCUUUUGUUUUUUGAACUAUUAAAUAUCCUUUGAAUCUAUAUGCAGAAUUGUUUCAGAGUUUGUCUAACAUCAGACUUUUAGCUCCAAAUUGGUUUUUUGUGGUGCUUCUCAAAUCUGAAAGGUCUCUCUCCAGCAUGCCAACCCUUAGCAUGAUACAAUGACUGCUAGCAAA